CAGCCGCCGCGGUAAUACCGGCGGCCCGAGUGGCGGCCACUAUUAUUGGGCUUAAAGCGUCCGUAGCCGGGUUGGUUAGUCUCCCGGGAAAUCUGGCCGCUUAACGGUCAGAAUUCCGGGAGAUACUGCCAGCCUAGGGACCGGGAGAGGCCGAGGGUAUUCCCGGAGUAGGGGUAAAAUCCACUGAUCCCGGGAGGACCACCGGUGGCGAAGGCGGCCGCCCAGAACACGCCCGACGGUGAGGGGUGAAAGCUGGGGGAGCAAACGGGAUUAGAUACCCCGGUAGUCCCAGCUGUAAACGAUGCGGGCUAGGUGUCGGGUGGGCUACGGGCUCACCCGGUGCCGAAGGGAAACCAUUAAGACCGCCGCCUGGGGAGUACGGCCGCAAGGCUGAAACUUAAAGGAAUUGGCGGG
rnacentral:rRNA from 1 species